rnacentral:lncRNA from 1 species
UAAUAAAACAAGAAACCAUGAUAUUCCAAUCAUAUUGCAUGACCUUCAUUGUUCAGUAAGUUCAGAUACAAAGCAGCAGCACCAAAAUAACUGAAUGUAACAUUUCAGUUCACACACAUGGCAUACAAAUAAAUUGUUGGGACAUUGUUUUUUUUUUUUUGGAAAUGUUGGGACAUUGUUGGAGCAGCAGGAAACCACCCCACCGGCCAGGUUCCAUUUAUUCAGAUUGGGGAGCCAGAUUCACCUUCAAUUCUCCAACAUCAUAAGCUCAAUUCAACUGAGCACCACUUCGAUCUGUCCCGUCGAACAGCCGAU